CCUACGGGCGGCUGCAGUGAGGAAUAUUGGUCAAUGGACGAGAGUCUGAACCAGCCAAGUAGCGUGAAGGAUGACUGCCCUAUGGGUUGUAAACUUCUUUUAUAUGGGAAUAAAAUGUUCCACGUGUGGGAUUUUGUAUGUACCAUAUGAAUAAGGAUCGGCUAACUCCGUGCCAGCAGCCGCGGUAAUACGGAGGAUCCGAGCGUUAUCCGGAUUUAUUGGGUUUAAAGGGAGCGUAGGUGGAUUGUUAAGUCAGUUGUGAAAGUUUGCGGCUCAACCGUAAAAUUGCAGUUGAAACUGGCAGUCUUGAGUACAGUAGAGGUGGGCGGAAUUCGGGGUGUAGCGGUGAAAUGCUUAGAUAUCACGAAGAACUCCGAUUGCGAAGGCAGUUCACUGGACUGCAACUGACACUGAGGCUCGAAAGUGUGGGUAUCAAACAGGAUUAGAUACCCUUGUAGUC
rnacentral:rRNA from 1 species